UACGUAGGGGGCAAGCGUUGUUCGGAAUUACUGGGCGUAAAGCGCGCGUAGGCGGUUUGAAAAGUCAGAUGUGAAAGCCCCGGGCUCAACUUGGGAACUGCAUUUGAUACUGUCAGACUAGAGUACAGAAGAGGUGACUGGAAUUCCCAGUGUAGCGGUGAAAUGCGUAGAGAUGUGGAGGAACACCAGUGGCGAAGGCGACUUUCUGGGCUGUAACUGACGCUGAGGCGCGAAAGCGUGGGGAGCGAUCCGG
rnacentral:rRNA from 1 species